AUUUUUCAAGACUGUUUUAAUAGCUUUAUAUUGAUUUGUAACAAAGCCAGCUUCACUUUGAGAGAACCUAGAUGCUUAUUGUAAAGAAGCUUGGAGUCAUAAUAUAUUUAAACGUUAUAUGUUUGCUGUUCUUCAUCUUUUUAAAUAUGAAGUCUAUUCAUGUUUGUGUUUACAGAGGUCAUGUACACUGUGGUCAACUUUGUGGACGAUGAAGAGGUUUCUGGGUAAAGAUGAUAGAAAUAUAAUGAAGUAACAGUGAAAGCUAAAACAUCAGACUGAUCCAGACACUGAAGAAAUUGAUGUCACUGCAAUCUGGCCAAAAUGAUACAACAAUAUUGAAGUAGCCUACUGUAAUGAAGCUGCAGAACAACACAGAGACUCUUGAGGACAUCAACACAGAAAAUGAAGGCUCCAAAGAGAUGUCUGUCCAGAUGAGGGUGCAUCAAUGUUACGUUUGCUGACAAGUAUAUGCUUUACAAUGUAAAACCUAACAGUUAACUUAACUCAAACCAUUUAAGGAAAUCGGUUGCCUUAACCCAUU